UACGGAGGGUGCAAGCGUUAUCCGGAUUCACUGGGUUUAAAGGGUGCGUAGGUGGGCGGGUAAGUCAGUGGUGAAAUCUCCGGGCUUAACCCGGAAACUGCCAUUGAUACUAUCAGUCUUGAAUACCGUGGAGGUAAGCGGAAUAUGUCAUGUAGCGGUGAAAUGCUUAGAUAUGACAUAGAACACCAAUUGCGAAGGCAGCUUACUACCCGAAUAUUGACACUGAGGCACGAAAGCGUGGGGAUCAAACAGG
rnacentral:rRNA from 1 species